rfam:Clostridium colicanis DSM 13634 CLCO_contig000075, whole genome shotgun sequence.
UGAGAGUUUGAUCCUGGCUCAGGACGAACGCUGGCGGCGUGCCUAACACAUGCAAGUCGAGCGAGAAGAGUUCCUUCGGGAGUAAUUCUAGCGGCGGACGGGUGAGUAACACGUGGGCAACCUGCCUUAGUGAGGGGGAUAGCCUCCCGAAAGGGAGAUUAAUACCGCAUAACAUUAUUCUAUCGCAUGAUAGAAUAAUCAAAGGAGCAAUCCGCACUAAGAUGGGCCCGCGGCGCAUUAGCUAGUUGGUGAGGUAACGGCUCACCAAGGCGACGAUGCGUAGCCGACCUGAGAGGGUGAUCGGCCACAUUGGAACUGAGACACGGUCCAGACUCCUACGGGAGGCAGCAGUGGGGAAUAUUGCGCAAUGGGGGAAACCCUGACGCAGCAACGCCGCGUGAGCGAUGAAGGUCUUCGGAUUGUAAAGCUCUGUCUUUAGGGACGAUAAUGACGGUACCUAAGGAGGAAGCCACGGCUAACUACGUGCCAGCAGCCGCGGUAAUACGUAGGUGGCAAGCGUUGUCCGGA